CGUUUUCUCCAAGGUAGUUAAUAUACAGCAUAUUGUGAUAUAAAUAUCAACACAUAAUGCUGUAAAAAAAA